UACAGAGGGUGCAAGCGUUAAUCGGAAUUAUUGGGCGUAAAGCGUGCGUAGACGGUCAUGUAAGUCGGGUGUGAAAGCCCCGGGCUCAACCUGGGAAUUGCAUUCGAGACUGCAUGGCUAGGGUGCGGAAGAGGGAAGCGGAAUUUCCGGUGUAGCGGUGAAAUGCGUAGAUAUCGGAAGGAACACCAGUGGCGAAAGCGGCUUCCUGGUCCAGCACCGACGUUCAGGCACGAAAGCGUGGGGAGCAAACAGG
rnacentral:rRNA from 1 species